rnacentral:rRNA from 1 species
UACGGGGGGGGCGGGCGUUGUUCGGAAUUACUGGGCGUAAAGGGUUUGUAGGUGGCCUGCUAAGUCAGACGUGAAAUCCCUCGGCUUAACCGGGGAACUGCGUCUGAUACUGGAUGGCUUGAGUUUGGGAGAGGGAUGCGGAAUUCCAGGUGUAGCGGUGAAAUGCGUAGAUAUCAGGAGGAACACCGGUGGCGAAGGCGCACAUCUGGCCCGAUACUGACGCUGAGGCGCGAAAGCUAGGGGAGCAAACGGG